UUUUAGUUAUUUAUUGUUUUUAAUAUAUAUUGAAAAGAGAAAUAAAUACAAAUGGUAUAAAGUUUAGAUAUUCUAAAACAAUCUAAGAAACUAUCGUCAUAAAAGUUGUACUAUCUAAUAACAGUGAACUAUUAUCAAUAACUAUUAGUCGACUACUAUAUAUUUUUUAUGGUUUCACUAAAGAACGUAAAAAUAUACCCUUAUAUAUUUUUAUCCUAACUCUAUUUUAUUCAAUAGCAUCUAUGGACCUGAAUACCAAACUAAGCUUAAAUCACGUUUAAUUCGGGAUAACUUAAUGGGUGAUAAUUAUAGGAAUAUAUUGAAAAUAAAAAAAAGUAGAGAUAAAUUAAAUAUUUUUAAAGUUUUGAAAGGUAUAUAGUAAAUUAUCCCUAAAAUUUAAUG
rnacentral:lncRNA from 1 species